GACGAACGUUGGCGGCGUGCUUAAUACAUGCAAGUCAACUGAAGCAGUGGUAGCAAUAUCGCUGUGGAGGUGGCGCACGGGGGAGUAACACGUAGGUAAUCUGCCUUCAGGUCUGGCAUAACUCCGGGAAACCGGGGCUAAUAGCAGAGGAUGCAGCGGCACGACAUCGAGACGGUUGUUAAAGCUAUGGCGCCGGAAGAGGAGCCUGCGUCUGCUUAGCUAGUUGGCGGGGUAACGGCCCACCAAGGCAACGAUCAGUAGCUGGUCUGAUGGGAUGAUCAGCCACACUGGAACGGAGACACGGCCCAGACUCCUCCGGGAGGCAGCAUUAAGGAAUAUUGCUCAAUGGGAGAAACACUGAAGCCGCAACGCCGCGUGAGGGACUAAGGGCUUUUGCUUGUAAACCUCUGUAGUGAGAGAAAAAAAUCCCAAUCUGUGGGACAUGAUGGUAUCUUAAAAGUAAGCCCCGGCUAACUACGUG
rnacentral:rRNA from 1 species